GAGCAACAGUGAAAAGGUUUUACUACUGACCUUUAUAACUAAUACUGUGAAUGUUUCUACACUUGAUCUGAGCUCA
ensembl:snoRNA